rnacentral:rRNA from 1 species
GCUCUACGAUACGUCAUCUAAGGAGUCAAGUUGUUUGGGAAUGCAGCUUAAAAUGGGAGGUAAAUUUCUCCUAAGGCUAAAUAACGGCGAGGAGCACCGAUAGCGAACAAGUACCGUGAGGGAAAGAUGAAAAGAACUUUGAAAAGAGAGUUAAACAGUACGUGAAAUUGUUGAAAGGGAAACGAUUGAAGCCAGUCGUACCGGUGGGUAAUCAGCCUUUCGGCGUGAUUAUGUGGAGCGUGAGGAGUUAAACGCCCUCAUGCCUGCAUAUUCGUGUUCUUUGGGUGUACUUACCCCCAUGGGAGGUUAACAUUAAUUUCGAACCUUAUAAAAUGGUUGGAGGAAUGUAACUUCCAUUUUGUAUUGAAAUGUUAUAACCUUCCGCAAAUUUGAAGAUCGGGAUUGAGGAUUGCAACCGAUACCCCUCGGGGUUUCCCCUUUAAAUUUUUAAAAUUCUCUUGGGCCCAAAACCCUCUUUCCGGGCCAAAAAUUACCCUUUACAAGGUUUAAACGGGUUAAAUUCCUUAAGGGUUUUACCCAAAUGGG